UACGUAGGGGCCGAGCGUUGUCCGGAGUUAUUGGGCGUAAAGCGCGCGCAGGCGGCUUCGCGCGCCCGACGUGAAAGCCCCCGGCUUAACCGGGGAGAGUCGUUGGGGACGGCGGGGCUUGAGGGCGGGAGAGGUCGGUGGAAUUCCCGGUGUAGUGGUGAAAUGCGUAGAUAUUCGGAAGAACACCAGUGGCGAAGGCGACUGACUGGACAAGUAUUGACGCUGAGGUGCGAAAGCGUGGGGAGCAAACAGG
rnacentral:rRNA from 1 species